rnacentral:miRNA from 1 species
GGACUGGUCCCCCGCGGCCGGCGGGGCGCGCCCGCCCCCCCAUGGACCGCAGGCUCCGCGCUCCGGCCCCGGGUCCGAGCCCAGGGCC